rnacentral:tRNA from 1 species
GCGAAGGUGGCGGAAUUGGUAGACGCGCUAGCUUCAGGUGUUAAUUAAUACUUACGGGACGUGGGGUUCAAGUCCCCCCCCUCGCACCA